AGGAGCUCCCAGGACAGGUCUACACAGGCCAGCCUCCCUGGGCACUGAGGACAGUGGGGAGGGCUGCCGAGCAGAUCUGGGACAAUGGAAAUCUAUCCAUCACAGAGACAGAAGAGCAGGGAGAGCCCUUGCAAUGGAAACUGCAUGUGGAAAGGCAUGAGGUCAUGAGGUAGCACAGUUUGCCUGGGUACAGGGAUUGCAGGGCAUACAGAAGGACUGGUGGGAGAUGGGGACAGAGGGAGGUCAGGGCCAAUUGUGGAGAGCCCAGCUACAGAGCUCAGACUUCACCUUGUGGGCUCAGGGCAAGGAUGGGAGUCUAAGCAGGGGGAUCACAUGGCUGGUAGUCAUGGUGGUGUGGAGGAUGGAUUGGAGGAGGGCAGGAGCAGAAGGAAGGCCACCAAGAGCCUACUGCAAUACAGAAUGCUUAGGGGAAUCAACAGAAUCUGGACCUGGGGCUUGCUGUCAGAAGAACCGGACUCAAAUCCCCAUUCUGCUGCUUACAUUUGUGAGCUACUGGAAGGAACCAGAAACGUGACAUGGAUCAAAAGGACAGUACGUGGGAUCAAAAGGACUGUUUGAGUCUGAGGACACACCACUGGCCCAGACCCUGGACGGCUGCUCCGACUCUGGAAGGAAAUGCACCUGCACUACCUCAUCUCCCCCAGCAAUCAGGACCAUCUCCAACAAUUAAUUAUGUGCUGAUGGGAGACACUGAGCAACGAUGAGCUCAUGUGUAGAUCUCAUCUGUCAGGGGCUGCCAUUCUGAGGUUCUUCUUGCUCACCUCCUCCAAAAAACCUUUUAUUGGAGCAAUUAAUACAAACAAGAUGAACACAUUUACCCUUUAUGAUGGCUUCAUUUCUCCCACCCACCCCCUUAUCAUUAUGAAUUAUCAGUAAAAACUGCAACAAAUGAGACAAGAGAUGAGGUCAAUGUCAGACCUCUGAGCCCAAGCUAAGCCAUCAUAUCCCCAGUGACCUGCACAUGUACAUCCAGAUGGCCUAAAGCAACUGAAGAUCCACAAAAGAAGUGAAAAUAACCUUAACUGAUGACAUUCCACCAUUGUGAUUUGCUUCUGCCCACCCUAACUGAUCAAUGUACUUUGUAAUCUCCCCCACCCUUAAGAAGGUUCUUUGUAAUUCUCCCCACCCUUGAGAAUGUACUUUGUGAGAUCCACCCCCUGCCCCUAAAACAUUGCUCUUAACUCCACUGCCUAUCCGCAAACCUCUAAGAACUAAUGAUAAUCCCACCACCCUUUGCUGACUCUCUUUUGGGAUUCAGUCUGCCUGCACCCAGGUGAAAUAAACAGCCAUGUUGCUCACACAAAGCCUGUUUGGGGUCUCUUCACGUGGACACGUGAGACAGUCAAAGGCCAAGAUAAUCCACGAAAAAAGAUAAUCAGGCCCUAAAGCAAAGAGCUAACUGCACAGCAGUAGCUAGACAGGACUGGCAUCCUCGGCCAACCAGAGGAAGGAGGGUGUGCAUUUUCAAAGGCAGCUUUGCUUAGUGGUUAAACCCAC
rnacentral:lncRNA from 1 species